UACGGGGGGGGCAAGCGUUGUUCGGAAUUACUGGGCGUAAAGGGCGCGUAGGCGGCCAGCACAAGUCAGUUGUGAAAUCUCCGAGCUUAACUCGGAAAGGUCAACUGAUACUGUGCGGCUAGAGUGCAGAAGGGGCAACUGGAAUUCCUGGUGUAGCGGUGAAAUGCGCAGAUAUCAGGAAGAACACCCGUGGCGAAGGCGGCUCUCUGGUACGUGACUGACGCUGAGACGCGAAAAGCGUGGGGAGCGAACAGG
rnacentral:rRNA from 1 species